GCUGUUGCUGGGGGUCAGGCAGCCAUUUUCUGAAGCAGCAUAGGCUGCUGCUUUACGGCGGGGGCGGGGCUUAUCGGCGGGAGGCGGAGCUUCGUUUGGGGGCGGGGCCUGUGCCGGGGAGCCAAUCAGUGCUCCCUCCGGCCACAGACAGCCCCCAGCAGCUCAGCACUGCAUUCCCUCCCUCGGGCUGUAACAGGUUGUUACAGUCCGAGGGAAUCCCAUGGCCAGCAAGUUGCUGGCAUUUGGGGGGGCCCAAGGGGGGGCACAGCAUGAUGUAGGG